GACGAACGCUGGCGGCGUGCUUAACACAUGCAAGUCGAGCGGUAAGGCCCUUUCGGGGGUACACGAGCGGCGAACGGGUGAGUAACACGUGGGUGACCUGCCCUUAGCUCUGGGAUAAGCCUGGGAAACUGGGUCUAAUACCGGAUAUGACUCCAUGACGCAUGUUGUGGGGUGGAAAGCCUUGUGCGGCUAGGGAUGGGCCUGCGGCCUAUCAGCUUGUUGGUGGGGUGAUGGCCUACCAAGGCGACGACGGGUAGCCGGCCUGAGAGGGCGACCGGCCACACUGGGACUGAGACACGGCCCAGACUCCUACGGGAGGCAGCAGUGGGGAAUCUUGCGCAAU
rnacentral:rRNA from 1 species